rnacentral:rRNA from 1 species
AGCGAACGCUGGCGGCAGGCCUAACACAUGCAAGUCGAACGAACUCUUCGGAGUUAGUGGCGGACGGGUGAGUAACACGUGGGAACGUGCCUUUUGGCUCGGAAUAACUCAGGGAAACUUGUGCUAAUACCGAAUGUGCCCUUCGGGGGAAAGAUUUAUCGCCAUUAGAGCGGCCCGCGUCUGAUUAGCUAGUUGGUGAGGUAACGGCCCACCAAGGCGACGAUCAGUAGCUGGUCUGAGAGGAUGACCAGCCACACUGGGACUGAGACACGGCCCAGACUCCUACGGGAGGCAGCAGUGGGGAAUCUUGCGCAAUGGGCGAAAGCCUGACGCAGCCAUGCCGCGUGAAUGAUGAAGGUCUUAGGAUUGUAAAAUUCUUUCACCGGGGACGAUAAUGACGGUACCCGGAGAAGAAGCCCCGGCUAACUUCGUG